UACGGAGGGUGCAAGCGUUGUCCGGAUUUAUUGGGUUUAAAGGGUGCGUAGGUGGCCUGUUAAGUCCGGGGUGAAAGCCCACUGCUCAACAGUGGAACUGCCCUGGAAACUGGAGUACUUGAGUACAGACGAGGGCGGCGGAAUGGAUGGUGUAGCGGUGAAAUGCAUAGAUACCAUCCAGAACCCCGAUUGCGAAGGCAGCUGCCUAGACUGUAACUGACGCUGAGGCACGAAAGCGUGGGGAGCGAACAGG
rnacentral:rRNA from 1 species